rnacentral:rRNA from 1 species
CACGUAGUUAGCCGUGGCUUUCUGAUUAGGUACCGUCAAGAUGUGCACAGUUACUUACGCAUUUGUUCUUCCCUAAUAACAGAGUUUUACGAGCCGAAACCCUUCAUCACUCACGCGGCGUUGCUCCGUCAGGCUUUCGCCCAUUGCGGAAGAUUCCCUACUGCUGCCUCCCGUAGGAGUCUGGACCGUGUCUCAGUUCCAGUGUGGCCGAUCACCCUCUCAGGUCGGCUACGUAUCGUCGCCUUGGUAAGCCGUUACCUUACCAACUAGCUAAUACGGCGCGGGUCCAUCUAUAAGUGAUAGCAAAACCAUCUUUCACUUUAGAACCAUGCGGUUCUAAAUGUUAUCCGGUAUUAGCUCCGGUUUCCCGAAGUUAUCCCAGUCUUAUAGGUAGGUUACCCACGUGUUACUCACCCGUCCGCCGCUAACUUCAAAGGAGCAAGCUCCUUAUCUGUUCGCUCGACUUGCAUGUAUUAGGCACGCCGCCAGCGUUCAUCCUGAGCCAGGAUCAAACUCU